CCGACCUUAGCUCAGUUGGUAGAGCGGAGGACUGUAGAUCCUUAGGUCACUGGUUCGAAUCCGGUAAGUCGGA